rnacentral:tRNA from 1 species
GCCUCUGUAGCUCAGUUGUUAGAGCAGAGGACUGAAAAUACUCGUGUCGUUGGUUCGAUUCCGACCGGAGGCACCA